rnacentral:rRNA from 1 species
GACGAACGCUGGCGGCGUGCUUAACACAUGCAAGUCGAACGGUAAGGCCCUUCGGGGUACACGAGUGGCGAACGGGUGAGUAACACGUGGGUGACCUGCCUCGAGCUCUGGGAUAAGCCUGGGAAACUGGGUCUAAUACCGGAUAUGACCUCAUGUCGCAUGGUGUGGGGGUGAAAGUUUUUCGGCUCGAGAUGGGCCCGCGGCCUAUCAGCUUGUUGGUGGGGUGAUGGCCUACCAAGGCGACGACGGGUAGCCGGCCUGAGAGGGCGACCGGCCACACUGGGACUGAGAUACGGCCCAGACUCCUACGGGAGGCAGCAGUGGGGAAUAUUGCGCAAUGGGCGGAAGCCUGACGCAGCGACGCCGCGU